AGACUCAACAUACGAUUGGAUGGCUCUCAGUCCUCUUCACCAUUUUGAUGACUAAACAGUGAACAAAACGGCAACUAGUCUGUGAGAACGAAAGAACAAAUGAGAGAGAAGUGAAACGUGGAAUCAGCUGGAGCCUCAGUCUGAACAGUUCUCAUUUGCAAUCAAUCAGUGAGAUAGGACAUCCCCAUCAACCUCUGCCACACAAGAAUACAGAGAGUCACGACUGCCCUGCACACCAGCCAGUGCUUCUCACUGGACCUCCUCCAGUGUUUCAACAUCAGCCCCAUCCUGCAGCGUUGCCCUCUACAACAUCCCCAGGAUCCGGUCUUUCCUCACAAAGGAUGCAACGCAACUCCUAGUCCAAGUGUUGGUCAUCUCCCAUAUGGACUGAUGCAACUCGCUUUUAGCUGGACUCUGCGACAAAACUGUUGUGUAGAGUGUAUCUAGAACACUGCAGUGUGCCUUGUUUUCAAUCUACCCAAAUUCUCCCAUGUGACCCCCCUCCUUUGUGACCCCCACUGGCUUCCUGUCGCAGUCCGCAUCUGAUUCAAUACGAUGGUGCUGGACUUCAAGGCUAUCAGCAGAACUGCACCCAUCCAACACCAAACAAUGGUCAGACCACACGCUCAAGCACAAGCACUCCACUAUAGCUGGCCGGCCGCCAUCGCUGAGAGCGAAGUUAUGACUCUUCUAUGUUCUGGUGCCUCAGUGGUAGAAGGAAUUUCCGACCAAUGUCAGGGCAGCAGAAACCUAAAUGUUAGUGUAAAUGUGAUAUCCUUCAAUAUUUACAUUUUUUUAGGGUAAUUGCAGAUGAAAAUGUUGUAUCCUGGAAUUCACAUUAUAGACUGCCACUAACUAUUUGUGUAGAUGUAUGUGGUGACAACAUAUC